rnacentral:rRNA from 1 species
CUAGCGACUCAGAGUUUGAUCCUGGCUCAGGACGAACGCCUGGCGGCGUGCCUAACACAUGCAAGUCGAACGGGGUGAUGACUUCGGUUAUCACUUAGUGGCGAACGGGUGAGUAACGCGUGAGGAACCUGCCUCUCAGUGGGGGACAACAGUUGGAAACGACUGCUAAUACCGCAUAAAGUAUUCGAAGGGCAUCCUUUGGAUACCAAAGAUUUAUUGCUGAGAGAUGGCCUCGCGUCUGAUUAGAUAGUUGGUGAGGUAACGGCUCACCAAGUCGACGAUCAGUAGCCGGUCUGAGAGGAUGAACGGCCACAUUGGGACUGAGAUACGGCCCAG